UGUCAUUUUAGGAACUAUCAUACCAUUUGAACUAGCAGAGCAUGAAGACCAUUUUCUGUCACAGGAAUGAGAUCAAGUUCAAGCUCCAGGACCGCAAACUGUUGAAGUGUGCUAAACUGCUGUAAAGAGAGAGACUUAUCAUCGCCCAAUCAAGGUGACGUGUCCGUCUGAUAUUGGAGAGAUAGGUUCUAUUGGUCCUCAACGACUGCGAAGGGCAAUGUGGAUUUAAUUAUGAAAUGGAAGAUUCAUUCACUGAAGAAACGGAGUCAUUUGGGAUAAAGUAAGUUUUAAGCCAUAAUCAUUUAGUAUUCAUUUUUAUAUUGGUUUUUGUAGAACCAUUCCAAUCCCCAGCAACGUCAACCUGCAGAAGGAAUGGCCAGUUUGCAUUUUCUUUACAUUCGAAGGUCACGGAGAUCAUUACGUAGAACGUGCCAGUCAGUGGAGUAGAGGUUGGACCCAUCCCCAGCAACGUCUACCUGCAGAAGGAAAG
rnacentral:lncRNA from 1 species